CCAUCCAACAUUUCAAAUAAAUCCAAGAAGGACCAUGUAAAAUAACCUCUUGUAUUUGAUCCAUUCCUUCCAAGAUUUUAAGAGUAUGAGAGAAAAGUAAUCACAUCAAAUUUUAGUAACUAUGUAUCAAUUAAAAAGAAACA